CCAGCAGCCGCGGUAAUUCCAGCUCCAAUAGCGUAUAUUAAAGUUGUUGCAGUUAAAAAGCUCGUAGUUGGAUUUCUGCUUUGGAUGUCCGGUCCGCUCCCUAUGGGAGUGUGUACUAAUGGACAUUCGAAGCAUUUUUUGUGAGACUGUCUUUCUGCCAUUAAGUUGGUGGAUUGAUGGACUUACAUCGUUUACUGUGAAAAAAUUAGAGUGUUUAAAGCAGGCGUUUGCUCAUUUGAAUACAUUAGCAUGGAAUAAUAAGAUAUGACUUUGGUGGUCUGUUUUAUUGGUUUGCACACCAGAGUAAUGAUUAAUAGGGACAGUUGGGGGUAUUCAUAUUUCAG
rnacentral:rRNA from 1 species